GGGUUGUGAGGUUAAGCGACUAAGCGUACACGGUGGAUGCCCUGGCAGUCAGAGGCGAUGAAGGACGUGCUAAUCUGCGAUAAGCGUCGGUGAGGUGAUAUGAACCGUUAUAACCGGCGAUUUCCGAAUGGGGAAACCCAGUGUGUUUCGACACACUAUCAUUAACUGAAUCCAUAGGUUAAUGAGGCGAACCGGGGGAACUGAAACAUCUAAGUACCCCGAGGAAAAGAAAUCAACCGAGAUUCCCCCAGUAGCGGCGAGCGAACGGGGAGGAGCCCAGAGCCUGAAUCAGUGUGUGUGUUAGUGGAAGCGUCUGGAAAGGCGCGCGAUACAGGGUGACAGCCCCGUACACAAAAAUGCACAUAUUGUGAGCUCGAUGAGUAGGGCGGGACACGUGGUAUCCUGUCUGAAUAUGGGGGGACCAUCCUCCAAGGCUAAAUACUCCUGACUGACCGAUAGUGAACCAGUACCGUGAGGGAAAGGCGAAAAGAACCCCGGCGAGGGGAGUGAAAAAGAACCUGAAACCGUGUACGUACAAGCAGUGGGAGCCUCUUAAUGGGGUGACUGCGUACCUUUUGUAUAAUGGGUCAGCGACUUAUAUUCUGUAGCAAGGUUAACCGAAUAGGGGAGCCGAAGGGAAACCGAGUCUUAACUGGGCGUUAAGUUGCAGGGUAUAGACCCGAAACCCGGUGAUCUAGCCAUGGGCAGGUUGAAGGUUGGGUAACACUAACUGGAGGACCGAACCGACUAAUGUUGAAAAAUUAGCGGAUGACUUGUGGCUGGGGGUGAAAGGCCAAUCAAACCGGGAGAUAGCUGGUUCUCCCCGAAAGCUAUUUAGGUAGCGCCUCGUGAAUUCAUCUCCGGGGGUAGAGCACUGUUUCGGCAAGGGGGUCAUCCCGACUUACCAACCCGAUGCAAACUGCGAAUACCGGAGAAUGUUAUCACGGGAGACACACGGCGGGUGCUAACGUCCGUCGUGAAGAGGGAAACAACCCAGACCGCCAGCUAAGGUCCCAAAGUCAUGGUUAAGUGGGAAACGAUGUGGGAAGGCCCAGACAGCCAGGAUGUUGGCUUAGAAGCAGCCAUCAUUUAAAGAAAGCGUAAUAGCUCACUGGUCGAGUCGGCCUGCGCGGAAGAUGUAACGGGGCUAAACCAUGCACCGAAGCUGCGGCAGCGACACUAUGUGUUGUUGGGUAGGGGAGCGUUCUGUAAGCCUGUGAAGGUGGCCU
rnacentral:rRNA from 1 species